UUGACGAUUGACUCAUGUUGCCUCGGCGGGCUCUGCUCCCGCCAGAGGAUACAUCANAACUCCUGUUUUAACGGUAGUUGUCUGAGCUGCAAGCAACGAAUCANAUAUCUUUCAACACACGGAUCUCUUGGUUCUGGCAUCGAUGAAGAACGCAGGCUGAAAUGCGAUAAUGUAGUGUGAAUUGCAGUAAUUCAGUGAAUCAUCGAAUCUUUGAACGCNCAUUGCGCCCCUUGNUAUCCCGAGUGGCAUCGACUGUUCGAGCGUCAUUUCUCCACUCAGAGCGCCGGCUUAGGUGUUGGGCGACUGUCUCCUUUAGGNACGCGCCUCGAAACAGCAUCGUUGGCGUGGCACCGGUUUUAAGCGUAUCAGAAUCUUUCGCUUUGAAAGUCGGGGCCUCGUCUGCCGGAAGACCUACAUCGUAAGGUUGACCUCGGAUCAGGUAGGGAUACCCGCUGAACUUAAGCAUAUCAAUAA
rnacentral:rRNA from 1 species